GAUGAACGCUGGCGGCGUGCCUAAUACAUGCAAGUCGAGCGAACAGACGAGGAGCUUGCUCCUCUGACGUUAGCGGCGGACGGGUGAGUAACACGUGGAUAACCUACCUAUAAGACUGGGAUAACUUCGGGAAACCGGAGCUAAUACCGGAUAAUAUAUUGAACCGCAUGGUUCGAUAGUGAAAGACGGUUUUGCUGUCACUUAUAGAUGGAUCCGCGCCGCAUUAGCUAGUUGGUAAGGUAACGGCUUACCAAGGCAACGAUGCGUAGCCGACCUGAGAGGGUGAUCGGCCACACUGGAACUGAGACACGGUCCAGACGCCUACGGGAGGCGGCAGUAGGGAAUCUUCCGCAAUGGGCGAAAGCCUGACGGAGCAACGCCGCGGGAGUGAUGAAGGUCUUCGGAUCGUAGAACUCUGUUAUUAGGGAAGAACAAAUGUGUAAGUAACUAUGCACGUCUUGACGGUACCUAAUCAGAAAGCCACGGCUAACUACGUG
rnacentral:rRNA from 1 species